rnacentral:rRNA from 1 species
UACGAAGGGGGGCUAGCGUUGCUCGGAAUCACUGGGCGUAAAGCGCACGUAGGCGGACUCUUAAGUCGGUGGUGAAAUCCUGGAGCUCAACUCCAGAACUGCCUUCGAUACUGAGAGUCUCGAGUCCGGGAGAGGUGAGUGGAACUGCGAGUGUAGAGGUGAAAUUCGUAGAUAUUCGCAAGAACACCAGUGGCGAAGGCGGCUCACUGGUCCGGUACUGACGCUGAGGUGCGAAAGCGUGGGGAGCAAACAGG